UACGUAGGGUGCAAGCGUUGUCCGGAAUUAUUGGGCGUAAAGAGCUCGUAGGCGGUCUGUCGCGUCGGCUGUGAAAACUCGGGGCUCAACUCCGAGCUUGCAGUCGAUACGGGCAGGCUAGAGUUCGGCAGGGGAGACUGGAAUUCCUGGUGUAGCGGUGAAAUGCGCAGAUAUCAGGAGGAACACCGGUGGCGAAGGCGGGUCUCUGGGCCGAUACUGACGCUGAGGUGCGAAAGCGUGGGGAGCAAACAGG
rnacentral:rRNA from 1 species